UAAAACACCAUGUGAGUGAGGUUUUAUGAAGAGAAGUCCGUCUUCUAAACGUUGACAAGUUAAUCUGUUAUACACUGUCCACGUACCAUGUCAAGCACAAUUGGUUCAGGGUAUUUAUUCCAAACAAGUUGCGCUUUUUGACGUUACCGGAAGAGGGGGAAUCCAUUUGCGGUCAUGCUCGGAUUUUGGUCGGCUUACAGAAUGUGAAACAGAUAUUGAUCGAUUAACAAGACCAGGAUAAAUAUCGCCUCGUUUAAUAUCAAUCGCAUGAAGUAACUGAUCAGCAUGAAUGCCAAGAGAGCGGAUGAGUUGAAGGAGCAGGGCAAUGAAUGUGUGAAGAAGGACAACUACAUGGAGGCCAUUAUCCACUACACACACGCCAUCAAACUGGACCCAUUCAAUCACCUUGUGUUCAGCAACCGGUCCUUAGCCUUCCUCAAGGUCCAGCAGUACUUCCUGGCUUUAGAUGAUGCCAAACAGACCAUCAAACUACAGCCCAACUGGACAAAGGGCUACUUCAGGAAAGGGGAGGUUGAGUUUGCAGUAGGACAUUACAACGAUGCCAUUUUGUCCUACAAUAAAGCCAUGGUCCUGGAUGCCACUGAUGUGAAGGUGAGAGAUGCCAUCAACAGGACAAGGUCAGCCAUGAAUAAGGAGAGAAAAGCAAAUGCCCGUCUGCCGUGGAAGUUUGCAGCUGGUGGUGGAGGAAUGGGACUUCUGAUUGUGAUCGCAGAUCAGUACCUCGCUAAAGAACCUUCCAUAACUUACCUGGUGCUACAGCUGUUGCUGGUAUUGGUGUUCGCAACUCUAGGCUAUGUCAUUGCCCUCGGAUACAGGUUUGUGAUGAACUCACAGAAAUCCUCGUUACUGGAAGCACCAAUAGAUUUACUGUCGGAGAUGGAGGGCAAGCCAUCAGGCCAGACAAAUCCUGAAGAAUCCUCCCAAGAAGUGCCAGAAUCAGGAAAACGCCACCGUAAGGGCGGCACUGGAGCAGCCAGACAGAGAUACAAGCAGGGCAAGACUUGAUGACCAGAUGACCAUCACUACAUUGCUAUAUAUAUACACUGUACAUAUGUCAUACAGUCAUCAAAGGUUAAAACACACCUCACAACUUAGGCAUUUAUAAGUUAGAGCAGUAAGGAAAGAUAACAAUAUGGAUGAAAAGAAUAUAAAGAAGUUAUCCAUCCCAAUAUUGUUAUCCUUUCUCAUCAGGACGUCAAGAGAAAGAUAAGAUGACAUUUAACAUAAUUAAACAAGAUUUGUUGGUCACCCGUCCAUCCAUCUUGUUUGGUUUGGUGAUCAUGAUUCCAUACUAUCCAAGAUAGUUCCUGGAACUGGUUCAGACAUUAACCAGGUUAAUAUAUAACCAAACUAGGCUGUUGUCAGUCAAGAUGGCUCAGUUGUAACCUCAACUGGACCCCUUUGUGUUCAGCAGGUCAGUUUGUGACCAGUAAUUAUGAUAUGUUCAUACCAUUAUCAACACUUGACAUGGCCUCUUUACUCCUUUCAAAGGUCAAAUUUGUUCUCACGUCACAGAUUAACAAAAUGGUACAUGGCUGACUUUGUGAAUAUAAUUUGAAAUCCCAAGGAAUCCUAAUUAAGGGUUGAGUGAUGGAUAACCUGAUUAAAUCAGUCACCAAGGCUGGUUGCUAUGGCAGCUGUGAUACUUUUCAAACUUGAAACAAUAAGUUAUAGUAUUUCUAACAUUUCUCAUUCACUUGACUUUUCACCAUGAUAUAUUUUGGAUUACUCUUUCUCAGUAAAGUAUUGAUUCUCGUCCUUUUGUUAGGCAGAACCAUCUGGUAUUCGAAACCACACUGUCAGUCAGGUAGCUAAUCACCAUCACACAAAGUCGGCCAUCUAACCCACUCAGCCAUCUUACAUCCACAAGAAAAUGGACGUUGGACAACUGGUACUUUACUGAAAAAGUGUAAUCACAUAAUAACAUAUGUUGCAUUUGACCACCUUGUAAAUGGCAUUGUGUAUUCAUUUACGUUUUAGGUCAGACAUUCUACUAUGUCAAUAUAGCCACUAUUCUUAAGACCUAGUCUAUUCAAAUUACUUUUUGACUAAAAAACUCAGCAAAUCAGAGUCCACAUUAUAUAAUUAUAUUCUACUAAAAAAUGAUGUUAAGAUCCAAGUUCGGGCUAGUAUGUGUUUGGAACACACUGCAUUAUGAAGUAUCUGACAAAUGAAUGGACAAUGCCUGUAUUGUGAUUCCAUCAACCAUCUGGUGGUACCAACUGAGAAGCUGUGGUUAUUGUUAAUGAAAAUUGAUAACAAAAUACAAUUUCGAGAAAUAUGUGGAAAGGUUUAAUCAAUUUUCAGUGUAUGCAAGGUGGGGGGCUUAAUACUUAAUAAUUUGUAUAUUAAUCAUAGAUGACCAGUCGUUGUGAGUAGUGGGACAUUUAUUGACAUAUUGAGUUGACCAGAGUAUAUAUGACCUUAAAUAAUUAAGAUAUAUCUGAACCAAAUUUUGUAAAUUUCAAAUGCAAAAGAUGUUCAAUUAUAUUGAUAUGUCUAAUAAGAUCAGCCUUUUUAAGAGUUUCUAAGACAGGUGCUAUGCACUUGAUUUCAAUGAAAUGUGAGAGUAGGGUUCAUGUUAGUGUUUGCAAUAGUGUCACAUUAUGGCAGAAGACAAAGGGCUCCUCACACUGCACCCAUGCGGUAUUCAAACUCAGGUUGUCGGUGAGACAAGUGGGUGCUUUAACCACACUACCACAGGCCCUCGUGUCUUUGCGAAGAUUAAAGAUGUUAAGAAAACAUAACACAUUUGAGAUGACCCCCGACUCGAAAUACCCGACAGUAUACAUUUAGCCGAGAGCCGCGAUGCGGUCCUAUACAGUCAAGAAAUGCCACACCCCCCGUUUUGUGCGGACAUACGUCAUCCAUUUGUGUCAAGAUCAUUUAGUUGAGGAUCAAAAUCGGAUUUUAAACGACUUACAGAAAUAACAAUGAAGAAUUGGUAGGUGUCAUGAGUGGUGAUCGAUAGGCCAAUCAUCCGUGAUUAUGUUUACAUGAAGUUUUAAUCGACUACAUGCGAUGGUAGCAUAGCGAUUGGCAAAGCAGGCAGGUAGGGUACACCGAAGUGUCCGGCCUUGUCAUAAUGUAUUGUACUGUGUAGCAUUUCAAGUCGGGGGUCAUGUCAAAAAAAUAUUUUUUUAAAUCUUUAAUCUUCGCAAAGACACGAGGGCCUGUGAACACCACCCCCUUAAUAUGGAAUGAAAAUACAGAACCCUCUGCUGUAUAGAUGUUUGAAAAGGUUACCGACAUAUUCCUACUUCCUAAAAUACAGUUUGAAAUGCCUGUGGUGAUUUCAUUGAUGCAAACAACAAAGAGAUUAGUUUCUGAAGUGGGUGUACAGCACAUGCUGUAGGUUACAUACCAACCACAAUGCAGGUCAGUUUGUAGCAAGCCCAUCCACUGUUACUGGUUGAGAACCUGCCGUCAUUCUUCAUCAGCAGUUUCUCUCUUCAUCAUGCACAGCUUCUCUCUUCAUCAUGCAUUGUUUCUCAAACUAACCUUUUGUACCUGGACUCCUUGGAUGAAAGAAAGCUUUUUUUCCAAAGUGAUAAAUAUCCCAUGUUAGUGCUUACUACUGCUACACAUGAAGCAGCAGGAAGCAGCAUUUGAAUGAGAUCUUGGUUAGGUCUGUUGCGGUGUGUACUGUUUUCUAACUUUCAAUUGUUCUCUAGUACAUGUAUAUAUUCAUUAUCGGGAUCGUCUCAUAUAAUUUAGUCAGGUUAUGAUGAAAUGUAAACACAAUUUACAAUACAAAGUAAGUCUGGGCUAGUACAAGCAGCCGCACAUACACAUACACAUGCAUGCACGUCGUCAUAUGAGCGAAAUAUUCUCAAGUACGACGUUAAACCCAAUUUCACCUCACCUCACCUCACCCCUAACACUGCAAACAUCGAUGGGCAUAAAAUAUCACCUUAAAAUAUCUUGCAAUCUCGUUAAAAUUUGUUUGUAUUGCUCGCUGUGACGAUUUGAGAAGAUAUGUGUGUAGUGGUAAGGUGUGCAAAGAUUUGAUGAGACUGUCAACAAGACUGGACAAAAUGUUUCUCUUCUGAUACAAAAUCUACUCCAGGCUGGUCUCGCCACCAGUGUGUCUCACAAUGUCCGAGCUGACCAGUGGACUACAAGGAGCAGUGUGACUACAAAUUGCUAGUUGUGAAAGGUUUGAUGAAGAAAGAGAAUUUUAAGAGUGUAUGUGAAUGUGAUUAAAGAAUUUAAUUAUU
rnacentral:misc_RNA from 1 species